GACGAACAGCUCAAGUGCUUUGUAGAAUUAACAGUAUUAAAAACAUAAGUAUGUCUUUGUAGGAGAGUGUUAGUUUUGCCAGAUAUCAAUAAAGUGCACAAGUUCUUAUUCAAGGCAGGAGAAACUGCCAAGAUUAUAAUUGCUGUAACUGGAAGUAGGCAAAGAAAUUAAUGUUGCUGAAUAGCAUUCAACUCCCAAGAGCUGGCAAAUUUACUCAAGAUGGGCUAUCAUUAGGAAGGCAGGAGGAAAAACUCCAUGCAAUAUGGUCAGCGUUUUCUGAAACUCCUGAGUGGUCACAGUUAACAUGGUAAAUAUUUAAUUCCAUCACUUGUAGGUACCCUUUGCCCUCAGCGUUUCACUUCAACAGCUCCGAGAGUUUAGGCAAACAUUUAGAUUUCUAUUACCUGCCUGUUAUUCUUGCUGGCUUAGCUGGCUGCCUUAGGCCAAAACCACAGGAAAAAAGGGUAAGUAAGACUAGAAGACAAGAAAUUUAAUGGGAGAGGAAGAGGAUAAAACAAGAGCUGAACAUGAUCUUCAAGGAGGAGAAGGACUGUUCACAUUCUUUCUUGUUACAUGAGAGACUACAGUCUGAAACUGAAAGGGCAGGCUUAUAUUUAACGGCACAGAGAAGGAAGAGUGAUUUUUUUUUCCUUUGGAGAAGAAAUCUGGUGCCCUGGCAAGUAUUCUUUCCCUGUCAACAACCAGAGUUGGCCUAAUUAGACCUCUUGGUUUUGAGGACAGUUUUUUCUUGCCGAACCCCAUGAUAAGUAGAUGCAUGAUGACUCCUUAGUGCUUAGGCUAAACAAGAGUUCUGAGCAUUUCUCAUUAGGCUGGCCCACAAGAGACCUGCAGGAGCAUGGGAAGAAGUGAAACAGCAGCUAUAUUGACCAGCCCAAGGCACAAUCAGCACACCCUGGAGCCCAGCACACACUGAGAGCCAUCCCUUCAGAGCUACUUGAGGCAGCUCCAGGCUGCUGUUAUAUAGCACAUUUUACGAAGUCAUGAAUGGCACAGCUCUCUCCUUUCACAUUCUCUGAGUUUAAAAGAUGUUCUUGCUUUCUGUUUUAGAGAAAAUCCAUGCUGGGGGAAGGCUCAGGACUCUCUGAAGCACACCAAAAUUAUUCUUCAAAGAGCAAGUGUCUCAUCAGAAGCAAGAGAAGACAGGGAACAGGACAGGAGUCUACCACAGAAGGACUCUGAAAGACUCUCUUGAUCAAGGUAUGUGGGUGCAGUAAUACUUUUAUCUCCAGUUCUCCUUGUGCGACCAUAAUCACGUCUGACUAUAAUUAUGAAAUUAAACACUACAUCUGAUGACAGAGAUCAAUGUGAUUGCCCAGGGUACAGCGACUCUACCUUGAAAGGCUGUGACCUCUAAAGCUCCUCCAGGAAAUGGUCCAUGGAAGAGGCUGAAGUCACAGCAGGGAGCCUCAUGCUGAUGAGCACUAUCACCAGAGGGACCUGCAGACUAUUUCCUGCCCCAUCUCAGAAUCUUCAUCUCCAUAAAGAAAGGAGAGCACGCACGAUGCCAGCUUAAGGUCCCAGUUUACCUCAUCCCUCACCAGAUCGACAGUUGGAAACACUUAGUUCUGCUCUGCUUCCAUUGUGCCUCCGAAGCCAUUUGAGUGACUGAAAUCACAGG